AGAGAGCUUUUACGGCAUUGCUAGCGGGCUUGACGACCUGCAGAGCUAUUCGAGAGAACAAUCCGAGAGUUUCGCCGUGGAGGCUUACUGAUAAGCUUCAGUUGGUGAUCCCCUUGAGAUGUGCUUGUCCUUCAUCAUCUAACCUUGUGAAACAAUCAAGACUCUUGAUUUCAUAUCCUAUGAGUGAAGGCGAAACAAUUUUUUAUUUGGCUGUUAAGUUCAAAACAACACAAUAAGCUACCGUAUAUGCAAAUAACAGAUCAUUCGAAAGCUUUAGACCCGAAAGUUCCCUCCCUUUCUCUCCUCUGCACACCCACUCCGCACACCCACCUUCAAUUCCCUCUCUCUGUACAUUCCACCAAAACCUUCAACGUCUCCAGCCUGUGAUGCUUCACACACAAGUCCAACCCGGAUUCAAAAAUCAACAAAAUGGUAAAAACCAAGAUCGUAAAUCGACGAGAAACGUCCAUGCUUCAAUGUUUGAGUCAGAUCUGGAAGAACCCAGAAGAUAAAAUACGCAACAAAAACAAAAAAUCAGCACAUUUUCCAUAUAGGUUUUCGAAUUCAACCAAAAUUCAAUCACAAAAGCUAAUCAAAACUAUUACUUUCACAGCACUAAAGAUCUAUAAAAGCUAAUCAAAACUAUAACUUUCGCCGCCGUCAAUGAGGCUCAGUCCGCGGAUCUGGGGGUGGCGAUGGCGGAGAAGGCUACAGCCGUGAAGGCACCGUUGAUAUCUCCCACAAACAUGGAGAAAGGAAGACCCAUCCCCAAAAUCACAGCAAUAUUUCCAGAUCAAGGAUGGAGGGAGGGAGAGAGAGGGAGAGGGAGGGAGAGAGAGAGAUAGAGAAGUCGUAUAUUUCCAGAUCAAGGAUGGAGGCGACGAGGUCUCCGGCGAAGGGAGAAAAGUGCUCGGACGAUGGUGGGGAUGGGUCUUCCUUUCUCCAUGUUUGUGGGGUUAGGAAUGGAAGCAAGCACAGGACCUGGGAAGAAAGCAAGCAAA
rnacentral:lncRNA from 1 species